AAAAUGUCUACCGCUUUUAAAUAAGGGAAAAAAUAAGACAGUUUUGAACAAAUUAGCGAUGUGUAGAAUAAAACCUGUGCAUGUUACACAAGAACAGUUGAGAGAAUUGCUGCUGUAGCCCAAAAUGUUAAAGAAAAACCCAGACUCGUGUCUGUAGACUUAUUAAAUUCAGUUAACACAUGAAUUCCAGCCUGCCGAUCCCCAACAACAUCGUUACCCUUGCUGUUUGGGUCUUUCAAACGCAGAAAAUAAUUCGAAAUUCCACCUCGGUAUCUACCCAUCUGAUUCUAUCAGUCAAAAUGACCAUAGCAUGCAAAACAUUAAAAUCGAAAACAACAUUGAAUUAUACAAUCCAGACAAGUAGCAAUUAAUCCUGUAUGUCCUGUACGAAUAAUAAAAAAGUCUCAAAAAUACCAAAAAAUUA